ACAUAGGCUCCAAGCGUUGUCCGGAUUUAUUGGGCGUAAAGAGCUCGUAGGCGGUUGAGUAAGUCGGGUGUGAAAACUUUGGGCUUAACCCAAAGAUGCCACUCGAUACUGUUCAACUUGAGUUUGGUAGGGGAGUGGGGAAUUCCUUGUGUAGCGGUGAAAUGCGCAGAUAUAAGGAGGAACACCGGUGGCGAAGGCGCCACUCUGGGCCAAUACUGACGCUGAGGAGCGAAAGCGUGGGGAGCAAACAGGAUUAGAUACCCUGGUAGUCCACGCGGUAAACGGUGGUCACUAGGUGUGGGUCUCUAACCAAUGAGAUCCGCGCCGUCGCUAACGCAUUAAGUGACCCGCCUGGGGAGUACGGUCGCAAGACUA
rnacentral:rRNA from 1 species